UCUCCGUUGGUGAACCAGCGGAGGGAUCAUUACAGAGGUAUCACAAAUCUCAACCCUUGCGAAUCGAAUCUAUUCUGUGCUCGUUGCAUCAAGCGGGGGGGCCGAGGGGGAUCGAAACGGUAUCAUCGUACCACCAGCCGUGGGCGGAGGGCAUCUCGAAGCUUUAUCUUUCAUCCAGAACAAACCGUCUGAGAAAAGCACAAAUCUAAUCAAAACUUACAAAAACGAAUCUCUUCGCUCUUGCUUCGAUGAAGAAAGCAGAAGAACGGAAGAGCAAAC
rnacentral:misc_RNA from 1 species